rnacentral:snRNA from 1 species
GAUCAAAGUGUAGUAUCUGUUCUUAUCAGCUUAAUCUCUGAUACGCCCCCCAUUGGGGGGCCAGAUGAUUAAACUGGUUUUUGGAACAGGGCGGAGUGCUAGGGGCUUGCUCCACCUCUGCCACGGGUUGGC